UACGUAGGGUCCGAGCGUUGUCCGGAAUUACUGGGCGUAAAGAGCUCGUAGGUGGUUUGUCGCGUUGUUCGUGAAAACCGGGGGCUUAACCCUCGGCGUGCGGGCGAUACGGGCAGACUUGAGUACUGCAGGGGAGACUGGAAUUCCUGGUGUAGCGGUGGAAUGCGCAGAUAUCAGGAGGAACACCAGUGGCGAAGGCGGUUGCCUGGGGCUUUGCUGACGCUGAUGCGCGAAAGCGUGGGGAGCGAUCCGG
rnacentral:rRNA from 1 species